CCUACGGGAGGCAGCAGUGAGGAAUAUUGGUCAAUGGGCGCGAGCCUGAACCAGCCAAGUCGCGUGAGGGAUGAAGGUUCUAUGGAUCGUAAACCUCUUUUAUAAGGGAAUAAAGUGUGGGACGUGUCCUGUUUUGUAUGUACCUUAUGAAUAAGGAUCGGCUAACUCCGUGCCAGCAGCCGCGGUAAUACGGAGGAUCCGAGCGUUAUCCGGAUUUAUUGGGUUUAAAGGGUGCGUAGGCGGCCUUUUAAGUCAGCGGUGAAAGUCUGUGGCUCAACCAUAGAAUUGCCGUUGAAACUGGGAGGCUUGAGUAUGUUUGAGGCAGGCGGAAUGCGUGGUGUAGCGGUGAAAUGCUUAGAUAUCACGCAGAACCCCGAUUGCGAAGGCAGCCUGCCAAGCCAUGACUGACGCUGAUGCACGAAAGCGUGGGGAUCAAACAGGAUUAGAUACCCCGGUAGUC
rnacentral:rRNA from 1 species